rnacentral:rRNA from 2 species
UAGGCGUGUGACUGCGUACCUUUUGUAUAAUGGGUCAGCGACUUAUAUUCUGUAGCAAGGUUAACCGAAUAGGGGAGCCGAAGGGAAACCGAGUCUUAACUGGGCGUUAAGUUGCAGGGUAUAGACCCGAAACCCGGUGAUCUAGCCAUGGGCAGGUUGAAGGUUGGGUAACACUAACUGGAGGACCGAACCGACUAAUGUUGAAAAAUUAGCGGAUGACUUGUGGCUGGGGGUGAAAGGCCAAUCAAACCGGGAGAUAGCUGGUUCUCCCCGAAAGCUAUUUAGGUAGCGCCUCGUGAAUUCAUCUCCGGGGGUAGAGCACUGUUUCGGCAAGGGGGUCAUCCCGACUUACCAACCCGAUGCAAACUGCGAAUACCGGAGAAUGUUAUCACGGGAGACACACGGCGGGUGCUAACGUCCGUCGUGAAGAGGGAAACAACCCAGACCGCCAGCUAAGGUCCCAAAGUCAUGGUUAAGUGGGAAACGAUGUGGGAAGGCCCAGACAGCCAGGAUGUUGGCUUAGAAGCAGCCAUCAUUUAAAGAAAGCGUAAUAGCUCACUGGUCGAGUCGGCCUGCGCGGAAGAUGUAACGGGGCUAAACCAUG